GAACUUCUCAUGUGCCCAAGGAACUCCUUGCUUCACCAAAGCAGAAAAUUCAUGUUUGAGCAAAGGAGAGAGUUUAGUGGCCAAGAAAGACGUUCAUACUACAUUGUAACAUAAUCCAGGCAGAGGUCCCAGUACAACAAGCCCCAUUACAAUGUGAGAACUUAAGAACAGUAACUGCCCUCUGUUAUAAGGAGAAGAGGAAGUGCAAACAUUACUCAAAGAGGCAGAGCAGAAUCUUUGUAGAGGCAUG